AAGACUGUGCUUCACAGGAUCAUUUCUGUAGGCAAGUUUUCUCCACAAGUUUUUUCCGAAAGGAAAAGAUUUCCCACCCACGAUGAUGAGAAGCAGUGUCCGACCUGGAGCGUGAAACUUGGUGGAGGAAGUUCACCUUCUAUGGGUGAGCUACUCUACUGCUGAUGAUCGGCUCUCUUGCAAGGUUCGGACGCAUUCUGAGUGGU